AUGUCACAGGUCCCAGCUCCUCCUCCUACCUCUGACUUGGCCCACGCGGCUGCUGGGCCCCUCAUCCUGCCCGUCCCCACCAGCUUCCCCGGCUCUGGCCUCCCCGCUGUCACCAGGCCCGACGACCUCCUCAGAGCCUUUUGGAUCACACUCAACCCUGAGUGCCGCCAGGCCACCAGAGCCCUUGCCUCCCCUAAAUCACCGUGCACCCCGGACACAUGCGCUUGUUCCUCCUUCACCACAGCCCCAUGGGCUCGCGGCCUCCUCUCCACCCCCACGUGCCUCCAGCCUGAUUGGAAUUCCGUGUGGCUCCACAACACGCCCUGGCCCCCACAGCUCCCCUCCACACCAGCAGCAGCCGCCGGCUCCAACCACGGUGAUCUCUGGCCUUGGGCGCUCCGAGGAGCCCACCGGGGACCUCUCCUGGUGGAAGGAGGCUGCCACCACGUGGGGCCUCUCCACCUGCUCAUUCUCCAGAGCAGCCUCCAGGAUGAGCCUCCCAGCCCACUAAUGAGUGUGGGGUUGGCGUGUCAGGGGUGCCCAGGGCUGCUGCCUGCCCCUCUGGUGGGACUCUGUGGUCAGGAACCAGCAAAGGGGACCUUAGGCCCAGGGUGGGAGGUGGGAGAAGAAUCAGGGAAGAUGAACAUAAGUUUGCAAGUGCAGGACCCACAAGCUGCCCGCUGCUGUAACCAGGGUCCUCGCAGGUUGGUGACCGCUACAACCAAAAGUGGCCAGGGCCACUCCCAGGGGAGGGGGAGCCUGAAGGCAAGGGCUGGCCUGGGUCACACAGCACAUCUGUGGCUCCAGGCCCAGGUGCUGGCAGGGAACACAUGGGGCCUCAAAGGAUCUGGUCACAUGGUUGGCAGGGACAGUCCCCACAGGGCAGGGUCCUGCACCCCCUCUGUCCUGGUGCUGGUCCCUCCUGGGCAUCCCCAGGAAAGGCAGGAGCAAGGGCUUAGCAGGCAAGAGCCAGUUUCCAAGGGCUGUGCCCAGGGCCCUUCUGCCCAGGGCCCUUCUGCCCAGGGAGCACUUUAUAUCUGCAGGGGUGAUGGAGGCUGA
rnacentral:lncRNA from 13 species